rnacentral:ncRNA from 2 species
UGAUGUUCUCAGGGCGGGGUGCAAUUCCCCACCGGCGGUAGGUGCAGUCCCCUGCACGAGCCCGCGAGCGCCUUCGGAGUUUCUCCGGAGGGUCAGCAGAUCCGGUCCGAUUCCGGAGCCGACGGUUACAGUCCGGAUGAAAGAGAACGAUG